ACUCCUACGGGAGGCAGCAGUGAGGAAUAUUGGACAAUGGUCGUAAGACUGAUCCAGCCAUGCCGCGUGCAGGAUGACGGCCCUAUGGGUUGUAAACUGCUUUUAUACGGGAAGAAACCCGCCUACGUGUAGGCGGCUGACGGUACCGUAAGAAUAAGGACCGGCUAACUCCGUGCCAGCAGCCGCGGUAAUACGGAGGGUCCGAGCGUUAUCCGGAAUCAUUGGGUUUAAAGGGUCCGUAGGCGGGCCUGUAAGUCAGGGGUGAAAGUUUGUGGCUCAACCAUAAAAUUGCCUUUGAUACUGCAGGUCUUGAGUGCAUGGUGGGGUUGCGGAACAUGAUGGUGUAGCGGUGAAAUGCAUAGAUAUCACAUAGAACACCGAUCGCGAAGGCAGGUGACCAACCAUGUAACUGACGCUGAUGGACGAAAGCGUGGGUAGCGCAA
rnacentral:rRNA from 1 species